UACGGGGGGGCAAGCGUUGUUCGGAAUUACUGGGCGUAAAGGGCUCGUAGGUGGCCAACUAAGUCAGACGUGAAAUCCCCGGGCUUAACCUGGGAACUGCAUUUGUGACUGCAUCGCUGGAGUGCGGCAGAGGGGGAUGGAAUUCCGCGUGUAGCAGUGAAAUGCGUAGAUAUGCGGAGGAACACCGAUGGCGAAGGCAAUCCCCUGGGCCUGCACUGACGCUCAUGCACGAAAGCGUGGGGAGCAAACAGG
rnacentral:rRNA from 1 species